rnacentral:rRNA from 1 species
CUGUAGUCUGCAAUCCGACUACACGAAGCUGGAAUCGCUAGUAAUCGCGAAUCAGAAUGUCGCGGUGAAUACGUUCCCGGGUCUUGUACACACCGCCCGUCACACCAUGGGAGUCGGGAAUGCCCGAAGUCAGUGACCCAACCUUUGGAGGGAGCUGCCGAAGGCAGGUCUGAUAACUGGGGUGAAGUCGUAACAAGGUACC